AGCGAACGCUGGCGGCAGGCUUAACACAUGCAAGUCGAACGCCCCGCAAGGGGAGUGGCAGACGGGUGAGUAACACGUGGGGAUCUGCCCAAUGGUACGGAAUAACUCAGGGAAACUUGUGCUAAUACCGUAUGUGCCCGCAAGGGGAAAGAUUUAUCGCCAUUGGAUGAACCCGCGUCGGAUUAGCUAGUUGGUGUGGUAAAGGCGCACCAAGGCUAUGAUCAGUAGCAGGCGUGAGAGCGUGACCUGCCUCACUGGGACUGAGACACUGCCCAGACACCUACGGGUGGCUGCAGUCGAGAAUAUUCCCCAAUGGACGAAAGUCUGAGGGAGCGACGCCGCGUGCAGGAUGACGGGCUUCGGCUUGUAAACUGCUUUUUUCAGGGAAGAAUUCGUGACGGUACCUGAAGAAUAAGAGGUUGCUAACUCUGUGCCAGCCGCCGCAGUAAUAC
rnacentral:rRNA from 1 species